AUGGAUCCCCCACUAACACAACAAAAAAGUUGAAAAUUACAAUUAAACUAAACAUUUUAUCUCUCUUCCUCUCCCUCUUCGUCUGCCCUCUACCUGAUGAAAACCAGAAGCACAGAGCUUCCCAAAAUUCCAGUUGUUUCCAUCCUCUCUUCCCAAAAAUUACAGGUGUUUUUUCUUUUCUGUUUUCUGAUUAAAAAUUAUUAGAGAUUAUUGGAUGAACCACCGAACUGACCACCGAAUCCAAAAGGUACUGGUACGUACGUACCGAUACGGGAUUCGGACACCAUUUCACCGAAUCCGACAACUAUGAUUUGUCUUGAUUUCUAUUUGGAUUUUUUUAUAUGAAAAUUAAGUAUAGGGUUUUGACAUAUGGGUGGAUUUGACAUUGCUCAUGCUGCGGCUAGGUAAAAAGACUUCCUCAGUUGUUUUGCCUGGAUUAUCAUGUUCAUGCCAAUAUUAAAUGAAUUUCUACCCUUGCCACUAAAACUCUCUACUUUUUUCUUUGCUUUUUGUGUUGAGGUGUCGUCUGCUUCUUCUGCUUCAUUGGUUUUGUUCUUCUGCACUCCCUUGGCCCCUGGGAUUUUUGUGCUUCCCUACUGCCCUGCUUCGGGAUCUUCAAUUUUGAAUGGUUCUCGGUCCCAGCUGGCUAGAGCUUUGAUUUUGUGUUUCUGCACUCUCCCGGGGAUUUCUUCACUGCCCGCUACUGGGAUCUUCAAUUUUUGAAUAGUUGUGGAUCCCAACCUGCUAUCUGCAGAGCUGCUAUUUUCCUUCAACUUCGUCUGUAGCAAUGCGCCUCCCUCAAACUACUAUAUUGGCAUUUGUUUAACUUUUACUCGAAGGAUUGAGCAAUGGGUUACGCGUCGAAUGUUUAUGCAGGUAUUCACAUUUGUUCUACAGAAGUUAGGUUGUUCAUAAACGAAAGAGUUGUUUGGAUUUUGCUGCUUCUUGAAUUUAUAAAUAAAUGAGUCGUUGCGUAAAAAAAAUAAUUUGGGGUUUUGUUUUUAUGUUGGAAUUCUGAGUGUGGGUGUAUGAUUUGGUUCUCUUUGUAUUUUCAAGAAACGGUGGUUUUCAUUUUCUGGGGAGCGCAAUAGCAUUCUAGGAUUCAUAUAGCCAACCCCACUUGGUGAGAAAAGGCUUUGUUGUUGUUGUUGUUGUUGUUGUUUGUAUUGUGUGUAGGCUUCUAAGCUGUUUGUGCUUGAGGUAUAUAAUUCAGCUUUUUUCUUUGGGUUUUUUUAUUGAAGAAUGUAAAUUUUUUUGUGAUCUGAAACUCGAAUACAUAGGGAUUCAUGAUCUUAUAUUUUUGUGUAUUUUGAGAAUGCCUUUUGCUGCUUUUUUUACAGUUUUGUAUCAUAUUUUGUGUGUGUGUGUGUGUAUGGCUCAAAACAGAAAGUUACUUGGUCCUAAUGUGUUGUUUAUUUAGCUGCAGCCAACAUUCCGGUGUCUGAGAUUGGUGUGCAAAUUACUGGUAAUUUGGAUUGGUGUCUGAGAUUUAGAGAAUGGCUCGCAUCUUUAAUUUCUUUUUCCUUCAUUAUUACUGUUUUCAAAAUUUUUACUGCUGGGUAUUGAUGAUUUAUAGUCUGUGAGGGCUUCAAUCUGUUGGAAUUUUGAAUGGUUAUUGCUUCAUCGGAAUUUGGGUGGUCCAAAUUUUGAAUUAGAAGAAAACCCAUUUGAUUAAUAUUUUAGGUGGAUUGGCUCUCUGUGUUUCGUCUGUUAUUUCUUCCCCAGUUGGAAAGUGGAAGCCCCAACUUUGAGCUCAGAGCUUGAAUUUCUCAAUCAUUCGUUUCUCUGCACUCUCAUCAGUCACUCUUGAUCCUCUCUCUGAGGACCUGGGUACUUUUCCAGCUCUAUCAAGUAAUACUCCAUUUAAUUGCUUAAUUGAGGUUUUUUGUUUCUCUUUUUUGCUCUUUCAUCAGUUCAUUGGCUUUUUUGUUUCUCUUGAUCCUUCUUAAUUGUCAUCUAUUAAUCUUUCCAUUCGUAAUGAAGCUUAAUUGUCAAUCUGUUUUGAGGUAGCCAUGUAAACCAUUGCGGGAAACGUGCUGCCGACUCGGGAUUUAACAUUGCAGGUUUCAUUGACUUCUAUCCUCUGCUUACUUAUUUUUUAUUAUCUGAUUUUAAACUUUUAACAGCAUAAAGCUUAUGAAAAUUCAAAUGUAUUUGACCACGAUAUAAUUUUUAGAGGAUUUAAAAAGUGAAGAUUUUUGGUGGAUGUAGAAGAAUGUUUUAAGUCUUAACAUAUUUUAAUGUGGACUAUCCUUUUAUUUGGGUCAAUUUACAUUGUCGAUCAUUGAUAAUAUUAAUGUUGCAAUCCUUGAUUCCCAAUGAAGAAUGGCUGCUUUGUAUCAAUCAUUAUUGAAAGGAAAAGAGAGGCGAGAGGAAAAUUAGCUGUGUAAUAGUUUUACUAAACAAACAGAAUUAUAUCACACAUUUUGUAUCCUAUAACUCAGCACAGUAAUCAUAGCUGGUCAGUUUAAUUAUUAGCAGCUGAUAAGUGUUUGUGAAGAAGUGUAGCCAUGGGAAUUUAAACAAAUUCAAAUUUAUAGAUUCAAAUGGGUCAAGGUUGAUUUGGCAAGGAAUUUAUGGACAGUUGGACAAACACACGCAUGCACACAUGCGCGCCGCGCACACAUAUAUAUAUUAGUCCACCCUAUACGUAUUCUUUUGUGAAGCAUUUCCAAAGUUCUACUAGCUUAGAUACUGAUUGUUCAGAAAUCAAACAUGCAAAAUUUCUAUGCAUGUUUUAAAAUUGGUUGUAGGAGUAGGCUUCUAAGUGGACAUUCUGUGUGAAGGUUGUUUCGGUCAGAUAUGCAAUAGAAAUUUGCAUCAUUGGGGAGUCUGGUGUCUGUCAAUGUUGAAUGGGCUUCUAGCUUUAAAACCCCACAAUUAGCAAGCAAGGCGAGGCUUAAAUUGUGGUCAUGUGGUUGGUAAUUGAUUUUUUCUCACGACAAUUCCAAUGUUUCUUUACGUAGAGCUCAUGAUUGUAUAUCAUGGGUUUCCAAUAAUCAAAAAAGCUUAACACACACGAUAAGAUUGCUUCCACUUUGUCAAGGUGUUUUCUUUUCUCAAUAGCAAUGAACCAUUCAGCCUACAUUUAUUUAUUUGAGAAAACUUUAGAAUUAGUCUUUGAAACUUUUACUCUAGCAUCUCUUCAAGAAUAAAAGAACAAUUACCAAAUUAAAAUCCCUAUAGACAUUGCUUAUAUCUUCAUCUCCGUAUGACCCUAAUCCAGAAUUCCCAGGGAUGCAAAAGAUUCCACAUCUGUUUGGUCAUUUUGCUAAAUUUCAUUAGAUUUGACCCUCAAAUUUGAAAAAGCUUUCAUCUUGCUGUAAAUUUAAGUCUUUUCUCUCUGUGUUGGUCCAUCUCCUUAUAUUUGAAAGUCUCAGAAUUGCUAAUGGAUUUAUUGUGUUUGGGAAUUUUAGGAUUUUGGAUUUUGGUUGGUUUAGGUUGCUGCAGAUGGGGGCUUUGGAUGUAAGGCGGUGGUUGGCAGACACCGAAAGGUUGAUUACCCUCCUUAUGGAAGGGACUUUGUGAACCAUCAGCCUACUGGAAGUGUUUGCAAUGGCAAACUGGCCACUGCCUUCAGUUUUUCUUAUUGAAAGUAUUUCGUUGAAUUCUACUAUUUACAGCAAACCAUAUAAACAAUGAUAUGUAAUUCUAAGAGGAGAGAUUUAAUGGCAUUACUAUGUUUUUAGUUCGAUUCAAUGAUGCAAACUGUUAAUUUCCUUUGCAGUUACUUUUAUUUCAAGACACUGCACUCUUCUUUCAAUCCCGCAUUCUUAUGAAUCCUCAAAAUAUUAUUUUUGCGCAGAAUUAGUUUGCCAAAUCCACAUGACGUUAAACUUUAGAAUUGUUAAAAUAGUAUGAUUUACUUGGAAUCUGAUGGUGUUAAACUGCAGCAAAUAAAAUUUUCCUGUUGUAUUGAAUUUUCGAAGGGCUUCCUUUCCACUUUUGAUAACUCAGCAGCUGCAAACAAAGCAGAGAGUUUUUUAUUCAAGAGCAACAAUCCAGAACAAUUUCCAUGGGAAGAGUCAUGGAUUCCUAUUUCUUAGCUCUCACUGCCAUUGUCACUGGGACAUAUUCUAGGAUGGAGGUGAAAGGAUUUGGAAGAAUCAGAUAUGCCUAUUCAUUUGCAAGAUUGUAGGUCCAAACAUCUCUUGAAGGAGAUGUAUAUAGCUGAUGAAUUGCUUAAACAUGAUUUGGAUGGUAAACCUUCUGUUGAUAUACCAAGCUGCCCAGUUUUGGUGUUUGUUGAUAUAAAAGAUGAGAAGCUUGGAGGACGACUCUAUAACGAAUUUUGCUACCGUCUUAAUAAAAAACAGGGAAUUGGCAAAUGAUCCAGUUUUACAGGAAGCGAGUUACGAUUGAUCACCACCUCACAUUCCCAAACAUGUUGAGCUUGAUGUGCUGGGAACGGUGGUCUUGCAAAUAUUUUGGUAUGGACGUAGCAGCUGAAGAUGACGUUACUUUUUUUCUUGUAGCUCAUGAAAUGAAAGGUGUGUGUGUGUGUGGAUUUGAGCCUCAAAGUUCCUCUUCCAAGUACUGUCUUCUACUUGGUUUUGAAAAUAUUCAAGUGACUCGAU